CCUACGGGAGGCAGCAGUGAGGAAUAUUGGUCAAUGGACGAGAGUCUGAACCAGCCAAGUAGCGUGAAGGAUGACUGCCCUAUGGGUUGUAAACUUCUUUUAUCUGGGAAUAAAAUGUUCCACGUGUGGGAUUUUGUAUGUACCAUAUGAAUAAGGAUCGGCUAACUCCGUGCCAGCAGCCGCGGUAAUACGGAGGAUCCUAGCGUUAUCCGGAUUUAUUGGGUUUAAAGGGAGCGUAGGUGGAUUGUUAAGUCAGUUGUGAAAGUUUGCGGCUCAAACGUAAAAUUGCAGUUGAAACUGGCAGUCUUGAGUACAGUAGAGGUGGGCGGAAUUCGUGGUGGAGCGGUGAAAUGCUUAGAUAUCACGAAGAACUCCGAUUGCGAAGGCAGUUCACUGGACUGCAACUGACACUGAGGCUCGAAAGUGUGGGUAUCAAACAGGAUUAGAUACCCUAGUAGUC
rnacentral:rRNA from 1 species